UUCUGGCUCAGGAUGAACGCUAGCGACAGGCCUAACACAUGCAAGUCGGGGGGCAGCACAAGGAGUAAUCUGAGGUGGCGACCGGCGCACGGGUGAGUAACACGUAUGCAACCUGGCUGUAAGAGGGGGAAUAACCCGGAGAAAUCCGGACUAAUACCGCAUAAUACUUAGAAUCCGCAUGGAUUUUAAGUUAAACAUUUAUGGCUUACAGAUGGGCAUGCGUAUGAUUAGCUGGUUGGAGAGGUAACGGCUCCCCAAGGCAACGAUCAUUAGGGGUUCUGAGAGGAAGGUCCCCCACACUGGUACUGAGACACGGACCAGACUCCUACGGGAGGCAGCAGUGAGGAAUAUUGGUCAAUGGACGCAAGUCUGAAACCCAGCCAAGUCGCGUGAAGGAAGAAUGUCCUAUGGAUUGUAAACUUCUUUUGAAGGGGAAUAAAGUACGGUACGUGUACCGUUUUGUAUGUACCCUUCGAAUAAGGAUCGGCUAACUCCGUGCCAGCCGCGGC
rnacentral:rRNA from 1 species